rnacentral:rRNA from 1 species
UACGGGGGGGGCAAGCGUUGUUCGGAAUUACUGGGCGUAAAGGGCUCGUAGGCGGCCAACUAAGUCAGACGUGAAAUCCCUCGGCUUAACCGGGGAACUGCGUCUGAUACUGGAUGGCUUGAAUCCGGGAGAGGGAUGCGGAAUUCCAGGUGUAGCGGUGAAAUGCGUAGAUAUCAGGAGGAACACCGGUGGCGAAGGCGGGUCUCUGGGCCGAUACUGACGCUGAGGAGCGAAAGCGUGGGGAGCGAACAGG